rnacentral:rRNA from 1 species
CAGUCGCCGCGGUAAUACGUAGGGUGCAAGCGUUAAUCGGAAUUACUGGGCGUAAAGCGUGCGUAGGCGGUUUGUUAAGUCUGCUGUGAAAUCCCCGGGCUCAACCUGGGAAUGGCAGUGGAUACUGGCAAGCUAGAGUGUGUCAGAGGAUGGUGGAAUUCCCGGUGUAGCGGUGAAAUGCGUAGAGAUCGGGAGGAACAUCAGUGGCGAAGGCGGCCAUCUGGGACAACACUGACGCUGAGGCACGAAAGCGUGGGGAGCAAACAGGUUUAGAUACCCCAGUAGUCCCUGUCUCUUAUAC